UACGUAGGGGGCAAGCGUUGUCCGGAUUUAUUGGGCGUAAAGAGCGUGUAGGCGGCUAGAUAGGUCCGUUGUGAAAACUGGAGGCUCAACCUCCAGCUGUCGAUGGAAACCAUCUAGCUAGAGUCCGGAAGAGGAGAGUGGAAUUCCGAGUGUAGAGGUGAAAUUCGUAGAUAUUCGGAAGAACACCAGUGGCGAAGGCGGCUCACUGGACUGGUAUUGACGCUGAGGUGCGAAAGCGUGGGGAGCAAACAGG
rnacentral:rRNA from 1 species